CUCCCCAACAAGAUAGCAGGCUACAACAUGCAUGUGAUGAAGCUGAUUUGAAGCGCUCAGUGAGAGGUAUCUGCAUCAAGUUGCAGGAGGAGAAGAGAGAAAGGAGAGAUAAUCAUGUUCCUGAGGUCUCAGCCCUGGAUCAGGAAAUCAUUGAAGUAUUAACAUAUCCUGACAUUAAGGAAAUGCUGAUGUUUUUGGACUUUGGCAGUCUGUCCAACCUGCAGGUCACUCAGCCAACAGUGGGGAUGAAUUUCAAAACGCCACGUGGAAGCUGUUU
rnacentral:lncRNA from 1 species